rnacentral:lncRNA from 1 species
ACAGAAGUCACUUAACUAAGUCUAGGUUCCUCAUCUGUGAACUGAGAAAACUAAAAGCACUGAUUCCAUGGGGUGCUUAGGAAGAAGUCACCCAUGACUAUCUGGAACAACAUUGUGGGGAAGGCCAAGUUUCUGGUCACUCUCCAUCUUUUCCGCCAGUGCCCAACUGACUGAUCUUUACAGAUGGUGUCAACAGAUGCAUCUACCCUCUGGCUUCAAGUUGAGUUGGCCAAUGAAGGGAGGCGCUGCGGAAAGUACAUGACAUUUGCAGUUGUGGGCGACUGUGCUGUGGGAUGAAACCAGG